GGAAUGUAUUCACCUUAUUUUUCACGACAACAAGGGCGGCGCCAUUUCGCUCAUUUUGUCAACGUUCUUCCGGCCGCAUAGACGAUGAGCAGCUGAGGCAGUGACUGAAGGCGACGCGUUAAAGCUUAAAAAGCUCACCCGAGCGCCUUUAUGUUUCUUUCUUACCAAUUUUAAGCCAACUGAGGAAUACCCUUAUCCCAAGGUUCGACUACGAUGUUCCGGUAACUUUAAACCACGCCGGGUGUUGAAAAGGUGGCCAGUUUCAGAUGCAUUGAUGUGUAGUGAUGCAGUGGACAACUAUGAGGAUGAUACAAUCAACAUGUUCCUAAACUGUGAUGCAGAAACACAAUGGGAGGAUCCAUCCGUCUCUGACCACAACUACACUUUAAAAUCACAACUCAACCUAAAGCAAAUUACAUCUGAUAUGGGAAAACAAUGGUGCAGUUUCCCUGACAGGGCUUAUGCUGGUCCCAGGCUAAAAUGCAUAUUUGAGCUACAAUAAUUUAAAAACACCUUGUACUCACAUACCUCAACAUAUAUGAGUGUCAUUGUUUUGUCACAAGAUGCGCACCAGUCUUGUUUUUUUGUAGGGUUUGUUUGUAAAAACUAAAAUGUCCUAAUAUAAUUAAAUCCUAGUCCUGUAAACCCUGUCCGAGAAACUGCUUCAAUGUGUUGAGCUGGCACAAAUGUACAUAUCUCUGCUGAGAAACAACCAUCUUUGUCAGCUUUACACAGGGUUGAUAUUGCAUCCAUUACACAGUCGCCAAGCACUUUACCAGUACAUACACCAACAGCUUCCAGAUAAACACUUGGGAUCAGCUCCUGAUGACUCCGAUAAAGCUGUGUCUUAAUUUAUUGCAGGGUGGUCUUGCUUUACCUGUUGUAAAGUUACAUUAAACCUUCAUAUGUGAUCAGAUGUCAUGCAGUGAUAUUAAACAUUUACAGUGUGAUCAGAUGUUGUGCAGUUAUAUUAAACCUUUACUAUGUGA